UGUCUUCUAGAUGAGAGAAAAUAUCUUCAGAGGAAAGACAAAAUGAAGAUAAUCCAGGAAAAUCUCACUAUUUCAAGGUCACUUGAUUAUUAGCCUUCCCAUCUGCGACAUGAAUUUUUCCUCUACUGUGCAUAAUGGAGUACACAUCCCUAACUUCUAUGGGUGAAGAUAUGGAAAAUUCCAGGCAUAGAACACAGAAGGAGGAGGCUGUGCAGUAGAACAUUUAAGGAG